ACCCGUCUCUAGGCCAGCCCGGGGCCGACCCUCCUGCUCGCAGACCCAGCAGUGGCGCCACCCCACGGAGAGGAGGACUACGACUGGGAGACCACGGAAGGGGACGGGCGCUGACCUGCCGGGAGACCCAGGGGAAAGGUGGCUGGAGGAGACGACCGCGGGGAAGGAGCAGGACACAUGACAGAUACUUGAAGUUUCUACAGAAUCAAAGGCCUGACCAGUAAAUUGUGAAAUUGCCUUCUUGGAUGAUGUUUUAGAAAAUGAGGGUGACUCUCAAAUCAUUAGAAAUCUCUUAAAGCCAUACUUGUUGGGACAGGAAGAGUGCUCCGGAGAUACAAUGGUACCUGCAGGAAGCACCUAACUACAAUCAUAAGGAAACACUGAUCAAAUAUUUACUGUGUUCCAAUUACUCUACAAAGCACACGCAACACAUUAUCUCACUUAAUAUCAUAACAAACCUAGAAGGUAGGUUCCAUUAUUUUGCUCAUUUUACAGAGGAAGAAAUUGAGAGUCAGAGGAGUAAAGACACUUUCCCAAGGUCAUAUGGCUCUUAGGUGGGAAGAUUGAGACUCACCUUCCAUGCCCAGCAUGGAGCCCAAUGCAGUGGGGCCUGAACACGUGACCCCAAGAUGAAGACCUGAGUUUGGACCAAGAGUUGGUUGCUCAACCACCUGAGCCACCCAGGGGCCCCUCAGCCAGUAUCUUUUGACUUUAUUAUAAUCAGUUUGCUGUAACGGGUCCCUGACUAGAGGCCAGGGGUGGACUGUGACAUAAUAAGAAAUAUAUAUCUGGUCUCUGCCCCUGGUUCCUGACACAGAGCUCCUCAAUCUCUUGGAAUUUCCUUGGUAAUGGGAAGGGUCUUUUGUUCUAAAGAGUUGGAUUUGUGGGCUCCUAGGAAGCUUCAGGAUGGAAGCUGGUCACCAGAAAGGCCAAGCUAUAAUUAGAAGCUUUUAGCCCCAACCCUGCCAUCCUCCAGGGAGAAGACGGGAUGGAGACUGAGCCAAUAAUCCAUCAUGUCUACUUGAUAAAUCCUCCAUAAAAAUCCCCAAACUAUGGGGCUCGGAAAGCUUCCAGGUUGGUGCAUACAUACAUCUCGGGAGGGUGGACACCACAGCUCCACACGGACAGAAGCUCCUGCACUUGGGACCCUUCUGCCCUUGCCCUAUGUACAUCUUCAUCUGGAUCAUCAUCAUCUAAUGGCUUAAUUUCAAAGCUUGCCAAACGAACUGGAAAUUUUUCCUUUCACCUUAAGGGUACCUGUGGUUUGGUAAAGCAUUCACCAGCCUCUGUCCGGAUGUCUUGAAUUAUGCAAGUUUUGAUCUAAGGGUUCUUUAGAAAUUCAUCCCAUAGGUUAGUUGUGUCCUUUGCAUACCAUGCACCCCAAAUUUAAAAAAAAAAAAAUACACCAGAGAACACUAAAAACCAGGUAACUCCCCAGUCCCCACUUCAACCUGGCUUUAUCAGGAAGUUCCAGGACAGGCACCUGGAAAUCCAUUUCACAAGCACCAAGGUGGUUCUUAUAACCAGGAAAACUGUUACAGAAAAACAAGUUCCUUGCCCUGGAUAAGGUAAUUUUCCUCUGCAGUGUUAAGUAAUCAGAGUAAACCUGC